rnacentral:rRNA from 1 species
UACGAAGGGGGCUAGCGUUGCUCGGAAUCACUGGGCGUAAAGGGCGCGUAGGCGGCCAAGUAAGUUGGGGGUGAAAAGCCCGUGGCUCAACCACGGAAUUGCCUUCGAUACUGCUUGGCUUGAGACCGGAAGAGGUGAGUGGAACUGCGAGUGUAGAGGUGAAAUUCGUAGAUAUUCGCAAGAACACCAGUGGCGAAGGCGGCUGCAGCUGGUCCGGAUCUGCGCUGAGGCGCGAAAGCGUGGGGAGCAAACAGG